GAUGAACGCUGGCGGCGUGCCUAAUACAUGCAAGUCGAGCGAACGGACGAGAAGCUUGCUUCUCUGAUGUUAGCGGCGGACGGGUGAGUAACACGUGGAUAACCUACCUAUAAGACUGGGAUAACUUCGGGAAACCGGAGCUAAUACCGGAUAAUAUUUUGAACCGCAUGGUUCAAAAGUGAAAGACGGUCUUGCUGCCACUUAUAGAUGGAUCCGCGCUGCAUUAGCUAGUUGGUAAGGUAACGGCUUACCAAGGCAACGAUGCAUAGCCGACCUGAGAGGUUGAUCGGCCACACUGGAACUGAGACACGGUCCAGACUCCUACGGAAGGCACCAGUAGGGAAUCUUCCGCAAUGGGCGAAAGCCUGACGGAGCAACGCCGCGUGAGUGAUGAAGGUCUUCGGAUCGUAAAACUCUUUUAUUAGGGAAGAACAUAUGUGUAAGUAACUGUGCACAUCUUGACGGUACCUAAUCAGAAAGCCACGGCUAACUACGUG
rnacentral:rRNA from 1 species